rnacentral:rRNA from 1 species
AUACGUAGGGGGCGAGCGUUGUCCGGAAUGAUUGGGCGUAAAGGGCGCGUAGGCGGCCUGUUAAGUCUGGAGUGAAAGUCCUGUUUUCAAGAUGGGAAUUGCUUUGGAUACUGAUGGGCUUGAGUGCAGGAGAGGUUAUCGGAAUUCCCGGUGUAGCGGUGAAAUGCGUAGAGAUCGGGAGGAACACCAGUGGCGAAGGCGGGUAACUGGACUGCAACUGACGCUGAGGCGCGAAAGUGUGGGGAGCAAACAGGAUUAGAUACCCUGGUAGUCCACACUGUAAACGAUGAAUGCUAGGUGUAAGAGGUAUCGACCCCUUUUGUGCCGGAGUUAACACAAUAAGCAUUCCGCCUGGGGAGUAUGGCCGCGAGGUUGAAACUCAAAGGAAUUGGCGGGG